rnacentral:tRNA from 1 species
GGUUUAGUGGUGUAGUGGUUAUCACACCUGUCUCACACACAGGUGGUCCCCGGUUCGAACCCGGGCUGAAUCA